AGAAAAUCGACGUCGCAUAAGAUGUUUUGAAAAUGGGUCAUGAUGGGUGAGCUUUAUAAUUGACUAUAAUUGGUGAGUAUGAAAAAUUUGUAGUUGAAGGUUGCAUGUGAAUAUGAAUUUCUGGAAAUCAAUUAAAGGAUAGGAUGCAUCUUGUUGGAGACGAAGAGCGAGUGAAUAAAAAAUAUUGUUUUGUAAUGAAAUCAAGAUCUGGAUUGUGGUUAGGUUUGAGAAUUGUGGAGGAAGAAGAUGAAGAACGAGAUAGGUAGGAAUUGAGAGAUAAAUCAAACUAUGUCUUGGUUUGUGGGUGAGGGUGAAUUCUUUUUUUUCUCACUUGAUAAAAAAUAUUGAGAGUGUGAUGAUAUUGCAUAACUGGAUUGGGGAAAAAAAGAUUGCAGGUUGCAGGAAACAACGUUGCUUUUCAACCUUGCUACUGAUAUUGUUUCAGAUAAGGGGGUGCAUCUAGCGAAAACAAAAAAUCAAUAUUUAGCAUUAAAAUAUGUCUUGUGUUUAUUUAAUUGGAUUUAGUACAACAAAUCCAGACCGACAGCUGUCAUUUGGUUAUCAAUUUGUGCAUGAUACACAACUCUUUUACUUGGGUACC
rnacentral:lncRNA from 1 species